GAACGGCAUCGCGGGAAAGCUUGCUUUCCUGGCGGCGAGUGGCGAACGGGUGAGUAACACAUCGGAACGUACCGGCUAGUGGGGGAUAACCCGUCGAAAGACGGGCUAAUACCGCAUACGCUCUUCGGAGGAAAGCAGGGGACCUUUGGGCCUUGCGCUAGCCGAGCGGCCGAUGUCCGAUUAGCUAGUUGGUGGGGUAAAGGCCUACCAAGGCGACGAUCGGUAGCGGGUCUGAGAGGACGAUCCGCCACACUGGGACUGAGACACGGCCCAGACUCCUACGGGAGGCAGCAGUGGGGAAUCUUGGACAAUGGGGGCAACCCUGAUCCAGCAAUGCCGCGUGGGUGAAGAAGGCCUUCGGGUUGUAAAGCCCUUUCGGCAGGGAAGAAAUCGGCGGGGCGAAUAACCCUGCUGGAUGACGGUACCUGCAGAAGAAGCACCGGCUAACUACGUG
rnacentral:rRNA from 1 species